rnacentral:tRNA from 1 species
GGAGAGAUGGCUCAGUGGUUAAGAGCAUUGGCUGUUUGUUCUUCCAAAGGAUCUGGGUUCAACUCCCAGCACCC